AUGGGCGCGGCCCCCGGCGGGCAGCCCGCGGUCUCCGGGGCAACAGCGCCGCGGCGGCUCCGCCAUUGGCGCCGCACGGGGUGGGCGGCAGCGGGGGCAGAGCGCGGAGCCGGGACGGGACGAGGCGGGCGUGAGGGGAGCGGGCCUGCGGGCGAGACGGGCUGCGAGGGCCGAUUAAAUAUAGAGCGGCGUCCCGGGGACGUGAACGUGAUCUGUACAGUUAGCGUACGGACGGGCCGACGGUUUACGCUCGCCGUUCGGGGACCCCGAAACGCUGCGUCGCGGUGUUGUGCGUUCGGCCCCGAGGGAAGGACCCAUCCAACUGAUGGGGGAAGCCGAGCACGGCAGCGAACCGACGCCCGCGGUCGUGGGGUGGUUGGAGAGCUCAGGUCGGGGGGGAGCCCCGCCGCCUGCAGAGCUCUGCCUGCCCUGAGCGGCACCGAGGGCAUCCAGGGCCGCCCGGUGUCUGCUCGUGGCGAGCUGCCUUACCGCGUGCGGGGUCUCCACCGGCGGAAAGUGAAGGCAGCUCACGGCACAGGCACGGCGAGGCGAUGGGUCACCGCCCCUGGGGUGCUCGGGAACGGUGGAGGGUGGCACCGCGGGACGCGGUGGGGUGGGUCGGGGUCGGUCCUGGGGACCUUAGAGGGCAUUUACAAGCUGAACGAUCCCUCGCUUCUAUGGGGCACGGGAGGGCGCGGGGCGGGGGCACAGCUGGGCGCUGGAGUCCCCAGGAGGGAAGCGGGAUCCCGGUGCUCCUGCUGGAAGCCGUGGGGUGAACCAUGGGCACCGCGGUGCUCGUGCUGGGAGGUCGCUGCGGUGUGCCCCCCUCCCCCCCCCCCCCCACCAGGGUGCGGGUACCGGGGCGCGCCUCGGUGCCUUUUUCUCCAGCAACCCCUCUCCGGUGGUCGCCCAUUGGCAGCGGGGGAAAUUCCCCCCCGCCCCGCGCCCAAUGGGCCGGGGGGGGCGGCGCCUCCCAUUGACAGAACCGGCGCGGCCGUGUUUACCGGGGGCGGGGCGGGGCGGCGGCGGCGGCUGCCGCUUCUUCUAUAA
rnacentral:lncRNA from 1 species